GCCCACGCGCUUGGCACAGAAACAAGUGUUUUUCUGGGAAAAACAGGGGGUGCGAGGGCAGGAUACAAGUGCCCCUGCUAUCUGCAGGCAGCCGUCCCCGCUCUCGGUAUCUCCUCCUGGAUACAGGCCUUCCUCCAGGGGCAUUUUCAUAGGCGGCUGGGAGGAGACUCCCCAGCACCGUGUUUAGCCUGAUAUUUCAUCUCCCCCCUCCGUGGAGAGAGCGGUCCCUCUCUGGCCUUUUAAUCUCCCUUCUGGAAAACAGCCUGGGGACGAAACAGAAGAUGACCUUUAAAAGAAGACCCAUGGAUUGCCACCACGAUGCCUAGACAGCAUGGAAUCUAGAGUCCCCAGAAUGAUCUAUUUCAGCCCUUCCUCCUCUUGGAUCUUUGAGGAGAGCCAGAAGAAUCUGAAGUCGGUCUGUGAAAGGAGGUAGAGACUUAAUGACUAUCCACCACACAUCGCUGAUCAGCACCUGCUGAGCGUCUCCAUUCCUCUGCACUUGCCCAGGAGAUUUACAAACUCAGCUUCACCUGCAGAGCCAGACAGCACCCCCAGCUCUUCCCCUGAUACCCACAAAAGAUGUACCCAAUUAUUCCAGUAGCCAGCAGCCCAUAAGCGGUAAAGAUGCUGGUGCUUAGACAGAACACCCAUCCUGCUGCAUAACGAGUGGGCUACGUCCAGUGCUGGCUGCAAAGCAGCUCACAAACAGGGAACAAAAGGGAGGGCAGGGCAGAGCGGAGAGGUUCAGUACCUGGCAGUCAUAAACAGGGUGUCCUCUCCAGCACAUCACGUCGAGGAUAUAGUACGUCUGCUUUGCCUCAUUGUAGAUGCAGUCCAAGAUGCAGUACACUGCGCAAACAAACACAGGGCGGUCCAGACAUGCUCCAGAAGCUGCCUAACCCAACAGGCAAAUGCCCGAUCAAAUGCCCUGAUAUAAGCCUGCAAGGUGCAGAGGGAUCCCCUUCUGCUAAUAGAAGCUGCAACCACAAAAAUCCUUUAGCUUGAGGAGUCCAACAAGGCUACAAAGGUACCAGCCAGAGGCAGAGCAAGCAAAGGCAUGCUUCAGAAAAUGGCAUUUAGUGAACAGUAACCCCUCCUCAGGGCAAGAAAGCAACUGCAAGAGGUAUUAAGAAAGACCACACCGUACACAGCUCUCUGUCGGAAGACAGAGAUGAUAUUGAGGUUUAAGAGAGUCAGUUAACCAGGCAGCUAAUUAAAAGACAUCAUUACCUAG